AAAAGUUUUAUUCUUGCUUAUUUAUUCACUUUUUCUUUGUAUUAUAUGUAAGUUUUGUUAAACUAAAUGUUCUAUUUUGCAGUAAUUUGAUUUAAUUAUCAAUUGAUUUUGGAUUUAGCAAUUGAUUUAGUAUCGGCAUAAUUCGUGCCAGCAGCCGCGGUUAUACGAUUGAUACAAGUGAAUAUUAUUGGUUAAAACAGUUGUUUAUAUUUUUAGGGUUAAAAUAUAAAUUUGUAAGGUGAAAUGUUAAAAUUUAUUUAUAGCUCUUUUUAUGAAUCUGUGAAAUUUGAAUAAUAAACUAGGAUUAGAUACCCUAUUAUUUUAAAUGUUAAUUAUAUUUACCAGGGUACUAUUAGUUAAGGUCUUUAAACCCAAAGAAUUUGGCGGUAUCUCAUUCCAUUCAGAGGAACUUACCCCGUGAUUGAUAAUACACGAUUAACUCUACUUGAUUUAUUUGUUUGUAUAUCUCCGUUAUCAGAGAAUCUUUUUAGAGUUAUAAUUCUCAAGAUUUAUAAUUAUAAAGUAUUUCAGGUCAAGGUGCAGCUUAUAAUUAAGAGGAGGUGAGUUACAAUAGAUUUUUGUUUAUAACGGAUUUGAUAGUGAAAUGCUGUUAAUGAAGGUGGAUUUGAUAGUAAUUUAAUUUAUUUAAUUUAACUGAUAUUGGCUCUGAGGUGUGUACACAUCGCCCGUCACUCUCAUUAUUGAUUAUUCUAUUUUAUUUUUUUUUAAUUUAGCUUCAAUUUAGAUGAGAUAAGUCGUAACAUAGUAGAUGUACUGGAAAGUGUAUCUAGUAAGAGUUU
rnacentral:ncRNA from 1 species